GAUGAACGCUGGCGGCGUGCCUAAUACAUGCAAGUCGAGCGAACGGACGAGAAGCUUGCUUCUCUGAUGUUAGCGGCGGACGGGUGAGUAACACGUGGAUAACCUACCUAUAAGACUGGGAUAACUUCGGGAAACCGGAGCUAAUACCGGAUGAUAUUUUGAACCGCAUGGUUCAAAAGUGAAAGACGGUCUUGCUGUCACUUAUAGAUGGAUCCGCGCUGCAUUAGCUAGUUGGUAAGGUAAUGGCUUACCAAGGCAACGAUGCAUAGCCGACCUGAGAGGGUGAUCGGCCACACUGGAACUGAGACACGGUCCAGACUCCUACGGGAGGCAGCAGUAGGGAAUCUUCCGCAAUGGGCGAAAGCCUGACGGAGCAACGCCGCGUGAGUGAUGGAGGUCUUCGGAUCGUAAAACUCUGUUAUUAGGGAAGAACAUAUGUGUAAGUAACUGUGCACAUCUUGACGGUACCUAAUCAGAAAGCCACGGCUAACUACGUG
rnacentral:rRNA from 1 species